UACAGAGGGGGCAAGCGUUAUUCGGAAUUAUUGGGCGUAAAGGGCGCGUAGGCGGCUUUUCAAGUGACGGGUGAAAGCCCUCGGCUUAACCGAGGAACUGCCUGUCAGACUGGAAGGCUUGAGACCGGGAGAGGUGAGUGGAAUUCCCAGUGUAGCGGUGAAAUGCGUUGAUAUCGAUAGGAACUCCGGUGGCGAAGGCGGCAUACUGGACCACAUCUGACGCUGAGGCGCGAAAGCCAGGGGAGCAAACGGG
rnacentral:rRNA from 1 species